rnacentral:snoRNA from 1 species
UGAGAAUGAUGAUCUAAUUCUUUGGUCCGUGUUUAUGACGGGAAGUAAGACCCCCGGAAUGAGUGACAAAGAGACGUAUUUACCGAAAUACAACACUGACAUC